GUGCCUGUAGCUCAAUGGCAGAGUACUGGACUGUGGAUCCAGUUGUUGCGGGUUCGACCCCCGUCAGGCACCCA
rnacentral:tRNA from 1 species